CUGCUUCCACUUUGGUGAUUGGCU
rnacentral:siRNA from 1 species